UACGUAGGGGGCAAGCGUUGUCCGGAUUUAUUGGGCGUAAAGAGCGUGUAGGCGGCCAUACAGGUCCGUUGUGAAAACUGGAGGCUUAACCUCCAGACGUCGAUGGAAACCGUGUGGCUAGAGUCCGGAAGAGGAGAGUGGAAUUCCUGGUGUAGCGGUGAAAUGCGCAGAUAUCAGGAGGAACACCGGUGGUGUAGACGGCUUUCUGGACCGUAACUGACGCUGAAACACGAAAGCGUGGGUAGCAAACAGG
rnacentral:rRNA from 1 species